UACGUAGGUGGCAAGCGUUGUCCGGAUUUACUGGGCGUAAAGGGCGUGCAGGCGGUCUGUUUAGUCUAGGGUGAAAGCUCCCGGCUCAACUGGGAGAGGUCCUUGGAUACUGGCAGACUUGAGGGAGGCAGAGGAAAGUGGAAUUCCCGGUGUAGUGGUGAUAUGCGUAGAUAUCGGGAGGAACACCAGUGGCGAAGGCGGCUUGCCAGAACGCGCUCGACGGUGGGGGAUGAAAGCUGGGGGAGCAAACCGG
rnacentral:rRNA from 1 species